rnacentral:rRNA from 1 species
GACGAACGCUGGCGGCGUGCCUAAUACAUGCAAGUCGAACGCACUCUCGUUUAGAUUGAAGGAGCUUGCUCCUGAUUGAUAAACAUUUGAGUGAGUGGCGGACGGGUGAGUAACACGUGGGUAACCUGCCCUAAAGUGGGGGAUAACAUUUGGAAACAGAUGCUAAUACCGCAUAAAACCUAAACACCGCAUGGUGUAGGGUUGAAAGAUGGUUUCGGCUAUCACUUUAGGAUGGGCCCGCGGUGCAUUAGUUAGUUGGUGAGGUAAAGGCUCACCAAGACCGUGAUGCAUAGCCGACCUGAGAGGGUGAUCGGCCACACUGGGACUGAGACACGGCCCAGACUCCUACGGGAGGCAGCAGUAGGGAAUCUUCCACAAUGGACGAAAGUCUGAUGGAGCAACGCCGCGUGAGUGAAGAAGGUUUUCGGAUCGUAAACUCUGUUGUUGGAGAAGAAUGUAUCU